GAUGAACGCUAGCGGCAGGCUUAACACAUGCAAGUCGAGGGGUAACAGGGAUUAGUUUACUAAUUUGCUGACGACCGGCGCACGGGUGAGUAACGCGUAUACAAUUUACCUUUUACUGGAGAAUAGCCCAGAGAAAUUUGGAUUAAUGCUUCAUAGUAUUAUUUGGUCACCUGAUCAGAUAAUUAAAGUUCCGGCGGUAAAAGAUGAGUAUGCGUCCUAUUAGCUAGAUGGUAAGGUAACGGCUUACCAUGGCGACGAUAGGUAGGGGUCCUGAGAGGGAGAUCCCCCACACUGGUACUGAGACACGGACCAGACUCCUACGGGAGGCAGCAGUGAGGAAUAUUGGGCAAUGGAGGCAACUCUGACCCAGCCAUGCCGCGUGCAGGAAGACGGCCCUAUGGGUUGUAAACUGCUUUUAUAUAGGAAGAA
rnacentral:rRNA from 1 species